AUUGAACGCUGGCGGCAGGCCUAACACAUGCAAGUCGAACGAGUGGCGGACGGGUGAGUAAUGUCUGGGAAACUGCCUGAUGGAGGGGGAUAACUACUGGAAACGGUAGCUAAUACUGCAUACCAUCAGAUGUGCCCAGAUGGGAGUAGGUACUGGGUGGGGUAACGGAUAACCAAGGAGACGAUCCCUAGCUGGUCUGAGAGGGUGACCAGCCACACUGGAACUGAGACACGGUCCAGACUCCUACGGGAGGCAGCAGUGGGGAAUAUUGCACAAUGGGCGAAAGCCUGAUGGAGCCAUGCCGCGUGUAUGAAGAAGGCCUUCGGGUUGUAAAGUACUUUCAGCGGAGAAGCGUUACCCGCAGAAGAAGCACCGGCUAACUCCGUGCCAGCCGCCGCGGUAAUAC
rnacentral:rRNA from 1 species